GGUGAGUAACGCGUGAGUAACCUGCCUUACACAAGGGGAUAGCCGUUGGAAACGACGAAUAAUACCCUAUGAAACUAUCACUUCGCAUGAAGCGAUAGUCAAAGUGUUAGCGGUGUAAGAUGGACUUGCGUCUGAUUAGCUAGUUGGUGAGAAAAAGCCCACCAAGGCAACGAUCAGUAGCCGGCUUGAGAGAGUGUACGGCCACAUUGGGACUGAGGCACGGCCCAG
rnacentral:rRNA from 1 species